rnacentral:tRNA from 1 species
GGCGCCAUCGUCUAUCGGUUAGGACACGGCCCUUUCAAGGCUGAAAGACGGGUUCGACUCCCGUUGGCGCUA